UACAGAGGGUGCGAGCGUUGUUCGGAAUUAUUGGGCGUAAAGGGCGCGUAGGCGGUGCGGUAAGUCACCUGUGAAAUCUCCUGGCUCAACUGGGAGCUUGCAGGCGAAACUGCCGUGCUGGAGUGUGGGAGAGGUGCGUGGAAUUCCUGGUGUAGCGGUGAAAUGCGUGGAUAUCAGGAGGAACACCUGUGGCGAAAGCGGCGCACUGGACCACAACUGACGCUGAGGCGCGGAAGCUAGGGGAGCAAACAGG
rnacentral:rRNA from 1 species